rnacentral:lncRNA from 1 species
ACCGUUCCUGGCGGUGAGUCCACGAGUUUGAUUUUGUCUUGACGCCUCCUGCGCUCCCCCACAGGCGGACCGAGAGCUUGGGACGGAAAUCCCAGUACACGAUCCACCCCUACCAACCCUGGCUGCCCUGCCUCUCCCUGGAAGGAUGAUGUUCUCCUCUCUCCUGAGACUUCCCAUCGCAGAAGUCUCUCCACUGGAUUUGGAAAAGUAGAACUAAUAAGAAAAAGAAAGGAAAGAAUCAAGCUCUGUGGGUCCGGACUGAGGGCUCCUCACCUUUCUCUUCCCAGGCGAUGGUGAGGGUGGGUCGUCAUAACGGAGCUCAACUUAAUUCCCAAUUGGCUCUGAAAUGUGAGAAUUGUUUUCCUAAAAUAUUGAUGGAUGUCAGAAGGCCACAAGAAGUGAGACCUCAUCUUUUUUGCUCUAUGAGAACAUCAAUCUUUCUAUUUUUGUGAAAAAUAAGGAAAGAACUGAAAACUAAGGUCUAGCUUAGACUGGAAUGCGCAUGGUAUACUACAAAGAGAGAAGAUAAAAUUGCAGGAUGAGAGUAUAAAGUACAAGGUAAAACCUUAUUGAAACAAAGUAAGCACAACUCUAUAUGCUGUAUGUGUUUACAUAUAAGAAGAGCCAAGGCUGAGUGUGAUGGCUCACGCCUGUAAUCUCAACACUUUGGGAGGCCAAGGCGGGUGGAUCACUUGAGCUCAGGAACU